UACAGAGGGUGCAAGCGUUAUCCGGAUUCACUGGGUUUAAAGGGUGCGUAGGAGGGCAGGUAAGUCAGUGGUGAAAUCUCCAAGCUUAACUUGGAACUGCCGUUGAUACUAUCUGUCUUGAAUAUUGUGGAGGUGAGCGGAAUAUGUCAUGUAGCGGUGAGAUGCUUAGAUAUGACAUAGAACACCAAUUGCGAAGGCAGCUCACUACACAAUCAUUGACUCUGAGGCACGAAAGCGUGGGGAUCAAACAGG
rnacentral:rRNA from 1 species